rnacentral:lncRNA from 1 species
CAUAUGCCACAGUGGACACUUGCAGGAAUUUAUAAUAUGUAAAAUUAUUAAUGAUAUUAUUAGAGAAGAUUUAUCUAUAUAUGAUUAUGAAUAGGAUAGCUCCAAGGAUAUCGAUAGUGAUAAUUAUUACAGUGAUUAUUACGAUAUAUCCGAAUAAAGCAAAAUGUUAUGUGUGCAGGAUGGACCCUCCUUGGAUUACCAAGGACAGAGAUAAAAGUAAUAAUACAAGGGGAAGAUCAUCACAGGGAUCGUUCGGACUAUAUCAGAAGAUACUUUGAAAAAAGCGAAAGAUUUCCUCCACAAAUUAAAAGAAAAAGACAAACANNNN